AUCACGUUGAUUGAAGGUAAAUAUGAUUUAAUCUUUAAGACUAUUAUGAGUAAAAUUAAUUUGAAAAAAUGUACGCUUUUGAAGAGUUUGACUAAAAAAUUAAAGGUCUUACAUUGUAAUUAAAAUUGAUAGAAUUUUUUAAUAAUUUGUCAAAAGGAAGUUUUUAUCAUGCUUUUCGAAAAUAUAAUAAAAAGUAUGGGUCACCUUAUUUUUUUCACGCUACAUGUUGUCCAAAAUUGUCAGAUUUUGUAUAGAUUAUGCAUGGAAAAUCAAAGUUUGUGUGAUAAAAGGAAAACUACUUGAUAGAAUUUAUAAAUAUGUGGGAAGAUAGUUCUAAAAACAUGCUUUCAGAUACGAAAAAGAAGAAAUGGGUCACCGAAUUUGUUUUCUUGCUACAAAUUAUAGUAGGUAAAUUCAUAACACUUUCUAUUAUAAACAAUACUAUUUCUGAGUUAUCUCCCCUUUUUUGGCAAAGUUGAAAAAAAUUAAUCAAACACAAAGAAGGUGUAUUUGAGAUAUUACAGUCAUAAUUAAGAUAAAACACUCAAUUUUCUAUAUUACAUCAAAAAUCUUAUACACCAGUUAUAUUCUACUCUCAAAAUUUGAACAUUUCAUCAAAUAUCUAGACCGUUAUCUGCUACUUCAAAAUCCAAAAUGGAGGAAGACACCCGAGUCACCUUUAUUGUGAUUCUUUCCAUAUUCUAGGUUUCCCAUAUCAACGUUAAAAUGGAACAUGUGCAUCAACAUGUUUAUUUAUUUAUUCACACUCUAUCAAUCCAUCAAUCAAGAUUAAAUCUGUUCACAGUGAUUUCAAAUCACGGAAACAUUGGACGUUGAGAGAAGUGUGACAAUACUAGAUGUCAAUUUUAAAUACAUUGAUUAUAACUUUAUUUUUUUCCAGAUGGGAUUGAAACUGAUGACAAGUGUUACCAUAGUUUGUAUCGUCUUGGUUUUGAUAGGAGGAACAUCUGCUGUUAUCUGCACAAAGCAAUGUAUUACGACUGCCGUUGCUGGAUGUUCUGAGAAUUGUAGAUUUGUCAAUCUUUAUGAUAAUUACAAGCGUUGUGUGGAUAUCUGUCGACUGAAAUGUUUUAAGUGUGUGCUAGAAUGCAAUGACACUAACUACUCGUGCAAGGAUUAUUUUGAUCUUAUAUUUCUACUUUAAUUUCUAUCUAUUAAAAUUAUUUCUUUUAUACAUUUGUAUAUCGGGGCUCUGACUA
rnacentral:lncRNA from 1 species